CUCUGACAAUAUCAGAGAAGGCUGCAGUGAUUUUAAUCUACAUUUAUUUUGUGUUUUAACACUUGAUCACCGGUUCAAUGUUUAAUUGGAAAACCAAGCAUUUCAUUGCCAUAACUUGUUAUUGCAAAUGACAAAUAAACCUUUUGAACUUAAUAAACUAGAUUCAAUCGAAAGUAAUUUAAACCUGGACUUAAAAGCGGCCGACAGACAGCGGUACAAUCUGAUGCCGGAUUAAAGUCAUUAGCACUACUUGGUCUCGCUCUGCUUCUAGGUUAGACGAAUUGUGCAUUCAGAGAUCGAUCAUUUGAGCACUGAGUCUAUGAUCUGAAGAGGAUCCGUCUGUUGACAGGCCAAGCCUCCUACAUUGAGACGGAAGUGCAUGAUUAUUUCUGGAGUUCAGCUGUUUCUGAGAUCCUGGAAGUACGACGUUUGGCACCACGGUCAAGGUCACGACCAAUCGCCCGUGUAACCGUAAUGUUUGGUCAAAUAACUAAACCUUUUGACCAUGUCUGCACGAUUUAUAAAUAGAGUUGGGGCGACAUCGUUGUUUGGCUGUAACCGUGAUACCGCAAUAAUGUAUGUUGCUACGUCAACUCCCUAUCGAGAAAAGAGGAAGAGCCAUACGUGUUCAUGUAUAGAAGACCUGUGAAUGAGAGUUGCAACUCUCCGGUGGGGAUAGUCAAAAUAAGUGAUUCAUUUGCAAGAUUUCGAUAUGUUUUGUCGCUAAAAGGAUGCGUCUUUGUUCGGGACGGUGCUGUGCUUCUGUUUGAUGUGGAGACAUUAUCAUAUUUAAGAUUAGGCUACUUUGGUAACCGACUAACAACAAGCGACUCAAUAUGGGGCAUGAGGUUUUUGUUUAUUGGCCCAAUAUCCUUGGAUAUAUCCGUCUUGUACUUAUCUUUACUGCUUGGAAUGCCUUCAACAAUCCAGCUGUGUUCUUCACCUCCUAUUCGAUCUCAGUCAUUCUAGAUGGGCUGGAUGGCUGGACGGCUCGCCGGUUCAGUCAGACUUCCAGGUUCGGGGCCUGGCUGGACGUGGUGGUGGACAACCUUGGGAGGAGUAUGGUGUGGGGCCAGCUCUAUGAGGUACGUAGAUUUGGUACCUACAACAAACAGACCGUACAUGUCCCCUGGACAUAUGAUGUGGGGCCAGCUCUAUGAGGUACAUAGAUUUGGUACCUACAACAAACAGGGACCGUACAUGUCCCCUGGACGUAUGGUGUGGGGCCAGCUCUAUGAGGUACGUAGGUUUGGUACCUACAACAAACAGGGACCGCACAUGUCCCCUGGACGUAUGGUGUGGGGCCAGCUCUAUGAGUGGGGCUGGCUGGUGUCUUCAGUGGAGUGGUGUGUGUUUGUGUGCAACCACAAUGCCCAUGGCGCCCAGUGGACGAACAGCUUCACAAACAGUCCUCAGUGGGUAAAGACCAUCAUGGCUAAAAGUGGGUAAUUUACAGACAGCCCUCUGUGGGUACAGACCUUCAUGGCUAAAGGUGGGUAUACAGUUCUUACCCUAUGAGAUCUGGAGCCUGCUGGUUUUCCUUUAAAACCUCCUCAUUAAUGUCACCCACCUGGUGUCAGGUCCACAUCAGUCCCUGAUUAAAGGGUUCCAAUGAAGAAACAGUGGAAUUGGCUUCAAGACAAAGAACUGGGUUUGGGGAAUGCAGUCUAUCUAUGACUUUGGCUGUAUGGGUACCAGCAGGGAGUGCUCACCCAGGCUCUCUGUGCCCCCCUCUGGCUGCAGACAUUGGGCACUCUGGUCCUGGCUGCAGGAAGGCUGGAAGGCUGGGCCUCUCAGUAGAGAUAUGGUGCAUAUGGGCUCACAUCAAACACCUGACCGAUGAAGAGGUGAAGAGCUAGUGAAAACAAACUACUGAAGGACGGCCGGGACUGCACUGCAGUAUUACUCAGUUCUUAUUUCCCCAGUGGUAAUAUUGGGGGUAUUUUAGAAAGCAGGUUUAGUGAAAACCUAGAGUUGGUUGAAUCAGAGUUAUAAUGUUAGAAAACAUGAACGUGACACCACAGUGACAAUUAAACAACUUUUUUAAUUAAAUACAAUGUGCUUUUUAAAAGGCACGAAUCAAAGGAUCUCAGUCAAAACAAAGUGCUUGUCAUAAAUUCAAACAAACGGAAAAGGAAAUGACAAAAUGUGUUUUAAAGUACAUUAAGUGUUAAUAGUUCCAUAUUCUGAUAGUGGUCAUUGCUACAGAGGGUAGUGUAACCGGUGUAGUAGGUGUGUAAAAUAAGGAGCCAACGCAGGGAGGUAGUUUAGAUCUCUAAAUUCUAUUUCAAAAGGCACGCGUAAAAUACUCAGGCGCACAGGCGCAAAACAAGCGUGCAGACAGCUUACACAAUGUACACCGCUCAUAGAACAAUACCACACAAAGACAGCCAGAAACACAGGAACUUAUAUAUGCGAUCUAAUGAGGGAAUGGAC